rnacentral:rRNA from 1 species
UACGUAGGGUGCGAGCGUUAAUCGGAAUUACUGGGCGUAAAGCGUGCGUAGGUGGUUCGUUGUGCCUGUGGUGAAAGCCCCGGGCUUAACCUGGGAAUGGCCAUGGAAACUGGCGAGCUGGAGUGUGGCAGAGGGGGGUGGAAUUCCGCGUGUAGCAGUGAAAUGCGUAGAGAUGCGGAGGAACACCGAUGGCGAAGGCAGCCCCCUGGGCUAACACUGACGCUGAGGCACGAAAGCGUGGGGAGCAAACAGG